rnacentral:tRNA from 1 species
GCCCGGAUGGUGAAAUAGGUAGACACAAGGGACUUAAAAUCCCUCGGCCGCAAGGCUGUGCCGGUUCGAUUCCGGCUCCGGGCACCA